rnacentral:misc_RNA from 1 species
CUGAAGAUUUGGUCGCAAGACCGCUCUUCCACCCUUUGUUUACCAUACCAUGUUGCUUUGGCGAGUCGCCCUAGGCCACCGGUCUUCGGCUGGUGCGUGCUCGCCAGAGACCUCAAACAACCUGAUUUUUGUGUUUGUCUGAACAACUUUAAAUUAUUAAAACCUUCAACAAUGGAUCUCUCGGCUCUGGCAUCGAUGAAGAACGCAGCGAAAUGCGAUACGUAAUGUGAAUUGCAGAGCUCAGUGAAUCAUCGAAUCUUUGAGCGCACAUUGCCGCCCUUGGUAUUCCGAGGGGCAUGCCUGUUCGAGCGUCAUUAUCACCCCUCAAGCCCUAGCUUGGUGUUGGGGCCCGCCCGUCAGGGGCAGCCCUUAAAAUCAGUGGCGGCGCCGUCAGGCUCUAAGCGUAGUAAUACUUCUCGCUAUAGAGCCCUGGCGGUCUCUUGCCAAAACCCCUAAUUUUUUAUGAUUGACCUCGGAUCAGGUAGGGUUACCCGCUGAACUUAAGCAUAUCAAUAAGCGGAGGAUCGCGUACUUGGUCAUUUAGAGGAAGUAAAAGUCGUAACAAGGUCUCCGUUGGUGAACCAGCGGAGGGAUCAUUACUGGGUGGCUUCGGCCUAAACCCCCAACCAUUGUGAACGAUACCAGUUGCUUAGCUGGUGGCGGCGGACAGCUGCCCUGGCGGCAACGAGACUCUUCUAAUGUCAUCUCUGAGUUACUUUUAAAUAAGUCA